GAUGAACGCUGGCGGCGUGCCUAAUACAUGCAAGUCGAGCGAACAGACGAGGAGCUUGCUCCUCUGACGUUAGCGGCGGACGGGUGAGUAACACGUGGAUAACCUACCUAUAAGACUGGGAUAACUUCGGGAAACCGGAGCUAAUACCGGAUAAUAUAUUGAACCGCAUGGUUCAAUAGUGAAAGACGGUUUUGCUGUCACUUAUAGAUGGAUCCGCGCCGCAUUAGCUAGUUGGUAAGGUAACGGCUUACCAAGGCGACGAUGCGUAGCCGACCUGAGAGGGUGAUCGGCCACACUGGAACUGAGACACGGUCCAGACUCCUACGAGAGGCAGCAGUAGGGAAUCUUCCGCAAUGGGCGAAAGCCUGACGGAGCAACGCCGCGUGAGUGAUGAAGGUCUUCGGAUCGUAAAGCUCUGUUAUUAGGGAAGAACAAAUGUGUAAGUAACUAUGCACGUCUUGACGGUACCUAAUCAGAAAGCCACGGCUAACUACGUG
rnacentral:rRNA from 1 species